CCUACGGGUGGCAGCAGUGAGGAAUAUUGGUCAAUGGACGAGAGUCUGAACAAGCCAAGUAGCGUGAAGGAUGACUGCCCUAUGGGUUGUAAACUUCUUUUAUAUGGGAAUAAAAUGUUCCACGUGUGGGAUUUUGUAUGUACCAUAUGAAUAAGGAUCGGCUAACUCCGUGCCAGCAGCCGCGGUAAUACGGAGGAUCCGAGCGUUAUCCGGAUUUAUUGGGUUUAAAGGGAGCGUAGGUGGAUUGUUAAGUCAGUUGUGAAAGUUUGCGGCUCAACCGUAAAAUUGCAGUUGAAACUGGCAGUCUUGAGUACAGUAGAGGUGGGCGGAAUUCGUGGUGUAGCGGUGAAAUGCUUAGAUAUCACGAAGAACUCCGAUUGCGAAGGCAGUUCACUGGACUGCAACUGACACUGAGGCUCGAAAGUGUGGGUAUCAAACAGGAUUAGAUACCCGAGUAGUC
rnacentral:rRNA from 1 species